rnacentral:rRNA from 1 species
GUGAGAAUGCCGGAAUGAGUAGCGAGAAUUAUGUGAGAAUCAUAAUGGCCGAAAGUCUAAGGUUUCCUGAGGAAGGUUCGUCCUCUCAGGGUUAGCCGGGAGCUAAGGUGAGGCGGAAACGCGUAGCCGAUGCACAUACGGUAGAAAUUCCGUAGCCUCCGAAGAUUUAAGCACAGGGACACUUUUGAAGGGCUGAGCCGGGCGUUGGUUGCCCCGGUCGAAAGGGACACGAUUGAGUGGAAGUCAGUUUGGAAAGAGGCGAGAAAAGCUGUGUGUAUAUGAAAGGAGCCCGUACCGCAAACCGACACAGGUAGACAGGAAGAAGAUUCUAAGGCCAGCGGGAGAAGGGUUGUUAAGGAACUCGGCAAGUUGACCCCGUAACUUCGGGAGAAGGGGUGCUUACGAAGGUAAGCCGCAGAGAAUAGGCCCAAGCGACUGUUUAGCAAAAACACAGCUCUAUGCUAAAUCGAAAGAUGACGUAUAUGGGGUGACACCUGCCCGGUGCUGGAAGGUUAAGAGGAGAUGUGAGAGCAUUGAAUUGAAGCCCCAGUAAACGGCGGCCGUAACUAUAACGGUCCUAAGGUAGCGAAAUUCCUUGUCAGGUAAGUUCUGACCCGCACGAAUGGUGUAACGAUCUGGACACUGUCUCAACAACCCGCCCGGCGAAAUUGUAGUACCGGUGAAGAUGCCGGUUACCCGCGACUAGACGGAAAGACCCCAUGGAGCUUCACUGCAGCUUAAUAUUGGAUUUCGGUAUUUCAUGUACAGGAUAGGUGGGAGACUGGGAAAUACAGGCGUCAGCUUGUAUGGAGUCAUUGUUGGGAUACCACUCUUGAGGUGCUGGAAUUCUAACCUGUGGCCUUGAAUCAGGUCAGGGGACAUUGUUAGGCGGGCAGUUUGACUGGGGCGGUCGCCUCCUAAAAGGUAACGGAGGCGCUCAAAGGUUCGCUCAGCAUGGACGGAAACCAUGCCAGAGAGUGUAAACGCAUAAGCGAGCCUAACUGCGAGACUGACGGGUCGAGCAGUAACGAAAGUUGGAGUUAGUGAUCCGGCGGUAUAUGUGAGUGGAAAUGCCGUCGCUCAACGGAUAAAAGCUACCCUGGGGAUAACAGGCUGAUCUCCCCCAAGAGUCCACAUCGACGGGGAGGUUUGGCACCUCGAUGUCGGCUCAUCGCAUCCUGGGGCUGAAUUCGGUCCCAAGGGUUUGGCUGUUCGCCAAUUAAAGCGGUACGCGAGCUGGGUUCAGAACGUCGUGAGACAGUUCGGUCCCUAUCUGUCGUGGGCGUAGGAUAUUUGAAAGGAGCUGUCCCUAGUACGAGAGGACCGGGAUGGACGCACCUCUGGUGCACCAGUUGUCACGCCAGUGGCACAGCUGGGCAGCUAUGUGCGGAACGGAUAAACGCUGAAAGCAUCUAAGCGUGAAGCCGCCCUUAAGAUAAGAUCUCCUUUAAGACCCCUUGUAGACUACGAGGUUGAUAGGUCUGAUGUGUAAGCACGGUGACGUGUUUAGCUUGCAGAUACUAAUCGGUCGUUCGCUUUUCCUU